AACCUCUCUGCAAUCUCCUCGCGGAUUCAACGUCGACCUUGAAGCUGAAGAAGAAGAAGAAGAAAAAGAAGAAGAGGAGGUUAAGAAUGGAGACACAGUCGAAGAGGUCAAGGUCGAGGUCUCUGUAUUGUAUACCCACUCUAUUUAGGCACAGUGAUGGUUAGUUAGGUCUCCUCUCUCACAUACACCAAACACAACAAAUCAACUAUUUAGACAGUGCUCCAUCUCUGUCUCCGUCGGCGAUUAAGUCUCUCUCGCUCUAGAUUCAGGUUCGUUCUUUCUCUCUCCGAUCCUUGCUCUCUCUCUCAAUCUUUCCCCCAUCGAAGACACUUGCGAAGUCUCGACCUUCGUAUUCUCAAGAUUUGCUCAUUAUCUCUAAUCAGAACAUUCCUAAUAUCAUUCCCAACUUGGGGUAACCACAAGAAUAUUUUCAACGAUGCUAGAGUUCCUUGGGCUGAAUACCGCUACUAUGAUCCAAAAACAGUUGGUUUGGAUUUUGAUGGGAUGAUAUCUGAUAUAAAGUACUUCUCAAGUCCACCUCAUCUUUCUUCUUUAAGAGGUCGCCAUCAACAUGUCAACGCUUGUAGAAUUAAUUAAUUUUGUAUUGGCUGAUAGAUUUCUAGCUUUUUUUUCUCUUCAUAAAAAUUGUAACUACUUUUCAACUUCAUGGAUCAGAGUGCAUUCAUCUCUUUUUGGUGCUCAUACCUCUGAAAUUGUGAGCUCUUUACGUUCCUUAAAUGUAAUGAAAAAUAUAUGACAGCAGGCUUUUCAAAGCCUUCAAUUUGAGUGGAGGCUUCAUGAAAAAUAUAUGAAAUUGCUGUUUUGAUUGAUGAUUUUGUGCUAAUAAAAAGAGCCUCUACUUUGAUCA